rnacentral:rRNA from 1 species
CAGCAGCCGCGGGAAUACAGAGGGUGCGAGCGUUAAUCGGAUUUACUGGGCGUAAAGCGUGCGUAGGCGGCUUCUUAAGUCGGAUGUGAAAUCCCUGAGCUUAACUUAGGAAUUGCAUUCGAUACUGGGAUGCUAGAGUAUGGGAGAGGAUGGUAGAAUUCCAGGUGUAGCGGUGAAAUGCGUAGAGAUCUGGAGGAAUACCGAUGGCGAAGGCAGCCAUCUGGCCUAAUACUGACGCUGAGGUACGAAAGCAUGGGGAGCAAACAGGAUUAGAUACCCGUGUAGUCCCUGUCUCUUAUAC